UAUAUAUAUAUUAAGAGUUCGUUUUAUAAUAAUCAUUUAACUUUUAUUUUUUGUCGUGCUUGUGUGUAUAUACUUGCGCGUGUAUUUACGUUUGCGUGUCUACUAAUUCCGUUCUACGUAACAACGAAAAAAGAUUACGUUAAUUAUUUCCUAUGUGGUGACCUAGAAUCAACAGGAUCUUGUUAUCGUUCUGCUGAAAAAGAAGAAAAUCAAAAGUCCGAGAUGAUAAUGGAGAAAAUGAGAUCGUUGAAAUCAAGGAUUACGAGAAUAACGAUGAUGCGAAGUUUUCAAAUGCGUCUUAUUAGAAGAUCGAUCAUAUCGUUUUAUCGAACUACGGUUAACGUCGAAUAGGAAGGAAAAAUAAAAAUAAUAUUAAUAAAAAUAGAAGAGAAGAAAAGUGUUGAGCCUACUUUUCUUUAUCCGAGAAAAGCCUUUAGACGACCGCAAUGCGCGCGCGGUGAAACUACGAGAGCCACUACUCCAGUGUUUUACAUCACGAAUCAUUGUGAAAUGGUGUUAUUAUCUUAACGCGUAUAAUAUGGUAACUAUGAGCUCCGAAAAGUCGGCCUCCCGCCGAAAACCAAUUGAAAAUAAUGAUACGAGAGAAUCUUCGGAUCAAACUGGAGAAAGGGAAGAUAAUAAUCGUACCGAGGAGAAUGUUGAAAAACAGAAUACACCCACGCAUCGUGUCACUGCCUGUUGCGCUGAAGAUACACCAAAUUAUCUCGUCUAUAAAAAGAUGGAAUCUUUGGUGGAAAAAAUGUUAAACGAAGCUACAGGUGUUCCUGUUAAAACAGUUAAAAGUUUCAUGACGAAAACUCCAUCCGUUUUUACGGGUUCCGAUUUGAUAUCUUGGAUGAUGAAAACUAUGGAUAUCGAUGAUCAAGAAUCUCUUCACGUGGCACAUCUCAUGGCAUCUCAUGGUUAUUUUUUCCCCAUUGACGAUCAUUGUCUUACCGUUAAAAAUGAUAACACAUUCUAUAGAUUUCAAACACCUUAUUUUUGGCCAUCUAAUUCUUGGGAACCAGAAAAUACUGAUUACGCCGUUUAUUUAUGCAAAAGAACGAUGCAGAAUAAAACUCGUCUUGAAUUAGCUGAUUACGAGGCCGAGAAUUUAGCUAGGUUGCAGAAAAUAUUUUCUCGAAAGUGGGAGUUCAUUUUUAUGCAAGCGGAAGCACAAAGUAAAGUCGAUAAAAAGAGGGAUAAACUGGAAAGGAAAGUGUUGGAUAGUCAGGAAAGGGCAUUCUGGGAUGUACAUCGGCCGAUGCCUGGUUGUGUAAAUACAACAGAACUCGAUAUAAAGAAAGAAUGCCGCAGUCAAAAACCAACCUUCAGAUCGAACAAACAUUUGAAAAUUGGGAUCACUGGUGAAAGGGUUUCUCCUCAUUCGGAAUCACAUUUAGCAGCUUCGAUAGAAUCUGUCCAAAAGGAGAUUGACAUGUUGAAAGAUAGGUUGGACAGAAGAAACAUCAAAGUAUCCAAAGUUGCGGAAGCUCUUAUCGGAUAUUUCGAACAGUAUGCCGAGUAUGAUCCAUUUUUUACUCAACCUGAAUUUACUAAUCCGUGGGUAUCGGAUAGUUCGGAAAUGUGGGAACAAGAAAAAAUAGCGAAAGAAGUGUCUACGAGAAGAGUUAAAAGAUGGGCAUUUGGUCUUCAGGAAUUGUUACAGGAUCCGAUUGGUAGAGAACAAUUUAUACGAUUUUUGGAGAAAGAGUUCAGCAGUGAAAAUCUCAAAAAGAUGUUAACGUUAAGGCUGGAGAAAUUUGGAACGAAUUUUUGGGCCCAGAUGCAAGCUGUCCAAUUAACGUCGAUUCUAGGUCCUUCGAAAUAACAAAAAGAAAUCUUGAGAAACCUGAUCGUUGGUGCUUCGACAUAGCUGCGGCACACGUUUAUCAUUUAAUGAAAAGCGAUAGUUAUUCGAGAUAUCUUCGUUCCGAGAUGUACAAAGACUUCCUCAACGGUUCGAAGAAGAAGACAUCGGUAAAGGGUAUUCGAUCAAUCGUAUCUUUCACGGGUCGCAGAGACACGGCAACCUCGUAAUCAAUCAAUUAUGAUCUUUGAAAAAUAUAUCCUAUAGAAAAAUUGAAAAAGAAAAAAAGAAAAUGAAGCGCAGAAGCAAAUCAUUUCUAAUCGUUAAUCACGUAAGUUAACACUUAAGGUCUUCUAGAUACUAUCAUUUAAUGCAAUUGAUAAGAAUCUUCGAAUUUAUGCGCGCAAAUAAGCUAUGAUAAUACAUACGUUCCUCGAUAAAUGUUCAAUAACAAAUCGGAAUGUAUCGUUAAAAGAAAAAGAAAAAAAUAAAUCAACUUGACGAUUAAACGAGCAUAAUUAUUUAAAUUACUUAUAUACGUACACCUAUGUAUUUCUACGUAUGUAUAAUAUGUUUGUAAUAAUUAUGCUCCAUUAUAAAAAAGACUUAAACACAGAGAGAAACAUAACUAUAUGUUUAAAAGUAUUCGUCCUACUGCUAUUUUCGUAUUACUGUAUUUAUUAAUUGGAUUAAUAUAUAUAUAAAUAUUAUAGAAUGAAAGUUUCCAUAAUAUACAAACCAAAAUGUGUAUCUAUAGAUAAUUUAGAUGAUACAAAAGUUUAUAAUUAGGAUUUAUUUGUAAGCUUGUGUGUAGAAGGCAAUGAGAUUAUACCAUAAGAAAUACUGGUAGAAAUAGCGUAAUAAUAAGAGUAAGUCAUAAAUAUUAGUAGAACAAGUAUAUCAAAUGUACAGUAGUAUUAUAUGCUUCUUAGAAUGAUAUUACAUUAAACUUCUUUAUCGUAAUGAUUCUAUGUAAUUCAGCAACAAAUUUUUCAAUUUAUCGUUUAAAACAACAAACAAACAAAAAAGAACAAAAAGA
rnacentral:misc_RNA from 1 species